rnacentral:rRNA from 1 species
UAGAGUUUGAUCAUGGCUCAGGACGAACGCUGGCGGCGUGCCUAAUACAUGCAAGUCGAGCGGGCGCUGGGGGGAACUCUGGCGUCAGCGGCGGACGGGUGAGGAACACGUGAGUGACCUGGCUGGGGGCGGGGGAUAUCGGGCCGAAAGGCGCGGCAAUCCCGCAUACGCCCUGGUGGCGACGGCGCCAGGGGAAAGCGCGCGGAGGCGCGCACCCCCAGGGGGGCUCGCGGCCCAUUAGCUAGUUGGGGGGGUAAGGGCCUCCCAAGGCGACGAUGGGUAGCCGGCCUGAGAGGGUGGACGGCCACACUGGGACUGAGACACGGCCCAGACUCCUACGGGAGGCAGCAGUAGGGAAUCUUCCACAAUGGGCGCAAGCCUGAUGGAGCAACGCCGCGUGAGUGAAGACGGCCUUCGGGUUGUAAAGCUCUGUCGGUCGGGACGAGGAUCCGCGGGGGGCCGCGGGGGGGCCGGUACUGGCCGAGGAAGCCCCUGCAAACUACGUGCCAGCAGCCGCGGUAAGACGUAGGGGGCGAGCGUUGUCCGGAAUGACUGGGCGUAAAGGGCGUGUAGGCGGACCGGUACGUAGUGAUUUUAAGCCGUCGGCUCAGCCGGCGGAGGGUUACUAAACGGCGGGUCUGGAGGGCAGGAGAGGUGCGGGGAAUUCCUGGUGGAGCGGUGAAAUGCGUAGAGAUCAGGAAGAACACCGGUGGCGAAGGCGCCGCACUGGACUGACCCUGACGCUGAGGCGCGACAGCGUG